UACGGGGGUGCGAGCGUUGUCCGGAAUCACUGGGCGUAAAGGGCGCGUAGGUGGUUUGAUAAGGGUGUGGUGAAAGUCCGGGGCUCAACCCCGGAUCUGCCGUGCCGACUGUCAAACUCGAGGGCUGUAGAGGCAGACGGAAUUCCGGGUGUAGCGGUGGAAUGCGUAGAGAUCCGGAGGAAGACCGGUGGCGAAGGCGGUCUGCUGGGCAGUUCUGACACUGAUGCGCGACAGCGUGGGGAGCAACAGGGAUAGAA
rnacentral:rRNA from 1 species